GGAGUGGACGCCGUUCUCAUGAGGGAUGAAGCGGAUGGUGUGCUUGUCUGGGGGCAGAGGUUGGCGGGCCCAGCUCAGGAAGGUCCUCAACAAGACCGCUAAGAGAUGAGGCCACCUGGCUGCACUGGACAUGGUGGAGACGAGAUGAUGUGCCCUGUCCUGGCUGAAGAGGUGAGACCCAGACACCAUACGUAAAGCCGGCCCGAUGGCAGAGAAGCCAGUGCUAGGACAGUGCUGUGUGGCCUGCGAGCACCCAGCUCCGGUGAGGAAAGGGGAGCGUGGCCUGGACUGGCCUGGAAGCGCUCAAUGGGGGAGGUGGACCGAUGGGGAGGGAGGCUCCUGGGGGAGUGAGGACAAGCCGGGGGUGGGGGGCACAGAGCCCAAUUCUAGAGCAGCGGUAGCAGUGGGGGAGGAAUGGCACUGGGGCUCCUGAAGCUAAGAUUACCCUGAGGGGCAGCUGGAAGGGGGCAUGGAGCCCCUGCUGCACGAACACUGGGAGAGGAGACAUCUGUCUGUCUGGACCUUGCAAGGUCACUGCUAAGUCCCUGGCCACACGGGCCCGCCCAUCUCUCAGGGUGGCAGAGGGGCCCCAUCCCCAGGCACUCACCUGGAGGCUGGUGACAGUAAGACGGCGAGCAUCAUCCGAGAGGGAGGCCACGGGCACCACAAAGGGGCUGUCCGGGAUGUGCUCAUCAUUGAACUUGAUGGAGACCUCAUAGUCACCUGGGGAGGGAAGGCCCGUCAGCAAGGCCCCAGGAUGAGAUGGCAGGGCAGAACCGCCUCCUCCCAGGAGAGCCCCCUGGGUCAGCGCUCAGCUCUGGAGCGAGAGGCACGUUCCCAGAGGGGUGGGGUGAAGGGAGAGAGAGCAGGGACCCAGGUGACGAGUUAGGUAGCCCCGUCUCCUGCCUGGGUGAACAGAAACCCAGUCUGGAAGGCGAGGCAGGCCCAGACCCAGUGUGGACACCCACCUGGUUCCUGGACGACAUAGGAGACCCCGCAGGAGCCAUCUUUGCGGUCCUCAAAUGCAAUCUCUGCCUUGCUGGGGCCCUCCACAGCAAUGGACAGGCCCCCGGCACCAGCUUCUCGGGUCCAGAUGCUGAACUCGGCUGGAGAAAGGGAAGCGGGACAGGGGCGGCUCUUCAGCACCCUCGCCCAGCCUGCUGGCUGCCUUGCCCCCGUCCCCUGUCCUGGCCCUUACCUGGCACACCGGCCACCCCUCGCUCUAGCCCUGUGCCUCCAGCCCGCACCUUGUGGGCACCACCUUCACCCAGUGGCCCCACGGUGAACUGAAAGGGGCUGCCUGGCACGUGCUGGCCGCGGUACUUGACGGUGACUGUGUGGGGCCCCAUCUCCUGGGGCACGAAGCGCACGCUGUACGCGCUGUCCUCUCCCUCCACGAUCUCCGCGGCCUCCGUCUUGCCUGAGGGGCUGGUCACCUGUGCGGUCAUGUCCUGAGAGCUGGCCUCACCUGCAGGAGGUGGGGAGUGACAGGGGAUGACGGGGGCUGCUCCUGCCCUGGCCUUUCCCUCCCCUCCCUCCGCGUAAACCCCUCUUCCUCUCAGACCAACAGCCUCCCCCUCCCCGUCCCAAGGGACAGAACACCCGACCUCCCUGUGAGGACCCCGGCCGGGCCCUGCUCACCCUCUUGCUGCCGAGUGAUGCUGCCAAAAGAGCCCAGACGUUCCCGGCCCAGGAAGUCCCCGAAGACGGCGGGGAAGGGGUCUCCGCCAACCUGAGUGGACUCCUCCACCCGCACCUCGCGCUUGGUCUCCCCACCCCGCGUCUUGCUGAUCUCCGUGCGCUCCGUGCGGGUGUACGUGUGGCUGCUGCGGGUGAAGGUACGUGUCAAGCGCUCCUGGGCAGACACCAUCUGGAACCAGUUCCCUGCGGGGCACAGGGAGUGGGAGGAGGGAAAGGAAGUGAGAAAGGAGCCUGCAGGACGGACACCGAGGGGCAGGCUCCCCGCCGCCCCCAGGCCCUUGUGGGCACCCACCUGGGAUCUUGAGGUUGAGGUCGCAGGUGCUGCCGAUGGUAGCGAUGGAAGGCGCCUGCCUGCGCCGCGUGAUGCUCUCCUUCAUGCGGCCCUCGCCCGUCACCUUCACCGUGAAGGGGCUUCCUGUCGGGGGGAGAGGGCCAGGCGUCUCAGAUGGCUCAUCUCCGGCCUCCGGCCCGUCCCAGCCACAGCCCAGAGCCUUACCAGGUACGUGCUUGUCGGCAAACUUGAUGUUGAUGAUGUAGGUGCCGGGUUCGGUGGGGCAGUAGGUGACUUUGCAGGUGCCAUCCUCCAUAUCCUCACAGUUGAUGUCCACCUUGCUCGGGCCUUCAAUGCUCAGCCCCAGGCCCCCGUAGCCUAGCGGGAAAUGGGGACACAGCGCCUUCAGCCCCACGGCUGUUCUGCUCUCCUCUCCUCAAACUGCAGGCUCCCUCCACCAUAGGCACCCAAACUGUGUCAUAACCACUGACAAAUGGCUCAGCAGGAGGAGAGGGUGAGCCAGGCAUGACCCAGAGGGUCAGGGGUAGCGAGUCUGGAAGAUUCCCUGAGGCAGGCCUCUUGGGUCCAGGGAGCAAGGGGGAGACAGAAACUCGGGGACAGCUGAGCUGUCUCUUAAAUGCACCUGCGUUCCGAGUGUCCACGAUGAACUCCGCCACCUGGAACGUCUGUCCCUCGGACAGACCCUUGCCCCAGACCCGGACCUUGCUAGCGUCCCCAAUCUCAGACGGCCCCACCAGGAUCUUGAAGGGGCUGUUGGUGACAUGCUUGCCGCUCUUGCGCACGCUCACCACGUGCUCCCCAACCUCCUUGGGGGUGAAGGAGAUACCUGGGGGGGGGGGAGGGAGGGGGAUCAGACAUGAAUGGAGCCCUGGGGCUGGCAGCGACCCUUUCCAGCCCACCUCCUCUCCCCAGGCCCCUCCUGUGGCCCCACACUCACCAAUGUGCCGGUUGGGCAGGCGCUUCAGCAGGCAGGGCUCCUCGUUGCCCGAGGGGGCACGGAUGCUGGCAGUCAGCUGGCUCAGGUCACUCUCAGUGAUCUUCAGCGACACAUCCGUGGACGUGCCCACAUUCAGCUGUGAUGUCCUCAUUGAGUCAUCACCUGGGAGAAUUGGAGUGUCAGGCAGUGUGAUUCCUGGCAUCCGCUGGAUGCCCCAGGCCUGAACGGGUUAAAUUCCUGGUUCACACAAGCUUUAAUCCUGACUUGCAUGAUUCUGAGGAACCAAUAAACUAGACCCUGACCCCUUA